CCUCAUAACAAGUCUAACUGGCUCUGGAAAGCUGAAAGGGCUGCACUGGAACAACACAGAUGAGAUAUUCUACACAUUAAUCUACUUAUCUGGAAUCACUUUGCUUCUAAAGGCCAGAAAAAAAUCACAGAUUCCUUGUCAGAGGGGAAGAGGAAGGUGAUCUGGGGAAAACGCAGCUACACCUGAGCAAGGUCUCUUCCCGGCUUGGCAAUCCCAGCUGUGCCGGGGCGCUGCAGGACCCGAGGCGUCCCAGAAACCAAAGGGCAGGCACGGCAGCGAACGCCUGAGAUAAUUGACUGAAUUCAACUUGAGAUUUGACACCAGAAAGAAAAACAUGGCAGUAGACAGAAAACAGAAAAAGUAAUCCAUCGGCAAUUUCCCCUCAGGUGUUGCUGCCUUCGGUGACUAUGUGAGAAUGGAAACUUCUAAGGAAGCCAGAAAUUUCCCAUAGGAAGACUUUGCCUCCUGCAACUUUGAAGAAAACUAUCUUACUGCCCAAGAUAAUCCCCAACAACCAUCCACAAAGUCAUUUGAGUUGAAGCUUUCACAGCUUUUGUACAUUCUGUAUGCCAACAUACAACCGAAUUACAGACUGUCCCCUGGCUCCCUGACCCUUGCAAACACUGCAAGUUUUGUAUGACUCAACUUCAAGCUGUUCAUCUGUUAGUAAGUAAUGUUCACUCCAAAACACAUUCAUGAUGAGAACUUCCCAAGAGACCAGCACUGCCUUACCCUCCUAGAAUCAUCAUAAUCAUGAUAACCUGAAACAUGUUACUGGGACUUGACAUUUUUCUGGGGAUUGAAAUACACUAAUACUUGGAGCUGUCACAUAGCAGGGGCCACCUCACCCUGAAACAAAGGAAAUCAUGUCUCAUUAUUAUCCACCCUGAGCCAACAUCAUAUGCCGUGUACAUUUAUUUACCCUGUGCAAAACAAAGCAAUGGAAGAGGAAACUUAAAAAUAUACAUAUUAGUACCAUUGUCUUCUUUUGCCUAAAAUUAUUAAUGUACCAUGUCAGAGCCUGCUUCCUGCAGGCAUCAUUCUCAAUUCAUCAAGACUUGUAUUAGCAGGUUCUGGCUAGAGAGACUAUCUCCUAUUAUCACGAUCAAUUAAUGUUUUCUGGUGAUCACAUCAGGUAGUGUCUAAGAAGUUCAUGGUACACAAGGGUCAUCCAAAUAGCUGAGUGCAGUCUUUGCUCGUAUUUCCUUCAUCUCAACCAGACAAACAAGAAUUAAGAUGAUGCCAAUAAAAUAAAAAUUGCUCAAGACAGUAACCUUUUUCUGAAGCAAGCACUGUCAGCAACUCUCAAGUAUUAGAACAACUAUGGUAAACUGAAAAGUGUUUCAAAAUCUGGGCCAAGAAUGAUUUCUAGGUCCAUAAGCUAAUUUGUCUGGCCUUGCUAUUUACGUAAACUAAAAAAGUCACUCAUGAGUAAACUACAGAAAACAUUCAGACCCAUCAUGUUAACAUGUCAAAGCAACUAAGACUGGCAGGGUAUUACCUCCACUCCAGGUGACAUGGAUAAAUAGCUCCAUUAUUUUCAUAAUGCCAGCCUCUACCUAAGGAAACCCUAGACCUUGGAACCAGCUUCCUGGUAGGCAACUGCUGACAGUUUCAAUGCUGACAGUUGGAGCCAGUGCCUUAUAGAGUAAACGGAAAUAAAAAUAGUUGCUUUUUAAAAUCAGCAAGAAGGCCUGCCUCCGCUUAACAAAGCAAAAAAAAAAGUUUUAAUUCAAAUUAAAAAUCAUGAUACUAGAGAUGGGAGUUUGUGGUCAGUAUAAGGAUAAAGCUCAUGUUCUUGGUUCA